rnacentral:misc_RNA from 1 species
GGACCUGUUUUGAGUGAGUUAUGGUCAUCCCAAGGACUACUGUUCAUAUGGUCAAAAAUCUGGGUUGCAAGGUUGCUAUUCCGGAUUUGGUCAUUUUUAAGGUCAGUUUCUAGGCAGAAUUUUGGCAACAUUUCUACAUGAAAGUUGGCCUAUUUGGUGUCUAGUUUCACCCCAUAUUGGCCUCAUACCAAUUGGGUUCACAGUUUGGCACUUAUGGCCUAAUUUAGGUGCUGCCUCCAAUACACAACCUGCACAAAGCACAUACACUCCCAAUUUGAUGUUCCUUCUCCUCCUCAUUACUACAAUAUUCAAUCAACAACACUUCCAUAUAUAUAUUGUACACAAUUCCAGCAAAAAUUCUGAGCAGAAUACUCAAGUGCACAAGGCACACAAUACACCAUUAAACUUCAAUAUUUACAUCCACCCAAAUUCAACAUACUUCAAUGUUAAUAUUACACAUAUACUUCAACAUAUUCAUACUUCAACAUCACUUACACUUGCUGCCCACAAAUUGACAUUCACAUAUAUCAUUAAUAACCAUAUAUUCACACACAAUUUCAUGCUAUUAGGGGUUGCCAAACAUGGCAGUUUGCUCAAGGCUUCAAGGUUCCAUUUCACACCUUUAAUCUAAACACUACAUGUACAUACUUGUGCACAAACUUACUACAACUUUCAUUUGGACAAUUCAAUCUUCAUUUUCAUUCAUUAGAAGUAAAAAUAACUCAAGCUCAACAAGGGUUCAUGGCUGCCAAAAAUGGACAAAUUCAUUUCUCACUAUUUCUUUCAUUUCUCUUCACCAAAACACUCACCUCAACCUAAACACAAGCUUUACCAAAGCAAGGGAGGGAUUUUGGACACUUACCACUUGAAAGCUUCCUUCAAACCUCACCAAAUCUUGUUUUUCUUGCUGCCAAUAUCUUCCCCAAGGUGAGUAUGCAAGCUUUAAUGAAGGAAAGAAGUGGAAAGGAUGGCUUGAUCAUGCACCCAUGGAGGUUGCAUGUGGGGUGGCCAUGGUGAUUUCCAUGGUGGAAUUCAUUACGGCAAAGUAAAAUGGGCUGAUGAAGAAGAUGAUGGUGAGUGCUAUCUGUUGUCCCAAGGCUGU